UUCUUUGUUGUUUCCCUCUGCGAAGUGCUAACGCGUUAGCUAGUGAAGGGGUGAUAAUUCUUCUAAACGCGUGCGUCUUUGAGAUUUUCUGAAUCGAUCAUCGUCGUUCCUACUUCUGGGUUCUCAUUGGUGUUUUUGGAAGCGUAUUAUGACCUAAUUAUCGCUUUCGACUCUGAAAUUUCUAGGGUUUGAUUUUCUAAAUUGGUUUUGUCUUCUCGUCAGAUUGUGGAGGAUACUAUCUAUGAUCGAUCGGUGAUUGAGGAGAUCUAUCGAAGGUUCUUGGAGUGUAGAAGCUACUGAGAAAUUCCAAAGGGAGUCUGGACCAACCAAAAGUAUCCUUUUUAUGAUUCUUGUUUUUUGAGUUUUUCUGACCUCUGUUUUGUUGGUGUGUUUGAUUUAAUAUUCUCGGUGAAUACUUUUUGUUAAUCAGCUUGAAGAAGACGACGUAGUUAUGGAUUAGAUAUUUUGAUUGGAGCCACAAUCGGUUUUGUUGCAUCAGGCUCAAGGAUUGUCAAUUUUUCUCAAGACUACCUGAGAAAGGUUUCGGUGGACAUGAUGACGACUUGCUUAAAGCGCAACACCAUUUAUGGUUCAAACACCCAUCCUCCCACGAAAGGGAAAGGGUUUCUGCAGUAGCGUCUUUAGCACUUGGGAUAAAAUACAGAGGGUAUCAAAGAAGGAUGGUAUGAUGGAGGGGGCAUUGCCUUUGCAGUGAUUCUUGUCACAGCUCUCAGUGACUCCAAACAGCCUCUCCAGCCUCAUAACCUGAAUGAUGAAUAGAGAACAUACAUCUGGAGGUAUAUAUUUGCACCAAUGUGACAAGAGGUGGAAGACGAGUGAAAAUCUCAAUCUAUAACAUUGUGGUGGGUUAUGUCAUACCUCUCGACAUUGGCAAUCAGGUUCCUGCGGAUUGAGUGCUAAUAUUUGCAUGACUGGAGAGAGCAAAAUGGUUAACAAAGACUAUCUAACAAGGACCCAUUCGUAUUUUCUGGCUGUAAAGUGGCAUAUGGAAAUGGUGUUAUGUUGAUGUUUUUGGAAGCGAAUCAUUAUCAGAUCAUCUCUUUCGAUUCUGCAAUUUCACCUUCUUCUAGGGUUUGAUUUCUAUAUCGAAUUAUUGAUCCGAACUUCUUAUUCGCUUCUGAUUUUUCACUUUUCUAUUCAUGUUAAUCCAGAUUGUGGAAGGAUAAUACUAUUGAUCGAUUUUUGAUUGAGGAGGAGGGUACUAAGAUAUUUCGGUUUUUUUUCUUUUUUUUUCUCUCAGGUUGGUGAGAACCCAACAACGUCUGGCUGAGGAGAUUUUGGAAUUACUCCUGAACAGCUUGUCAUAUUGUUUUCAUAGGAUCACAAUAUGGAGGGGCCUCAAGGAUUGUCAUAUUUGCUUAGGACUACCAGAGAAAGGCAUCAGUGGAGAUAAUGAUGAUGAUUUGCUAAAGCGCAAGACAUGGUUUCUGAGGUUUCUUUCGGAUUCUUGCCAUGAUCUCACUUUGAUGGUUUCUUUCGGAAUCAGGUUCCUGCAGAUGGAGUGCUAAUACUUGGGAGGAUGACUGGAGAGAACAAAAUCGUGUUAACAAAGAAGACCCUUGGCAGAUGGAAAUGGUGUUAUACUGGUUACUGAUGUUGGAGACUUGGAGUCAAUGACUUGGGGAUUGCUGAUAGCCUGAAUUUCUGAAGACAAUGGUGAAGAAACUCCCUUGCAGGUGCGCUUAAUUGGGGUAGCUACCUUUAUUGGUUCCAUUGACUUGGCAUUCGCUGCUACUGUGCUAGUGAUUCUUCCGACUCGAUAUUUCACCGGUCACACUAAAGAUGUAGGUGGAGGUCGUCAAUUUGUUAAAGGAAAGACAAAAACUGGUCAUGUAGUUGAUGUCAAUGUGAUCAAAGUUGUUACCGUAGCGGUUACAAUUGUCGAAGUGGCAGUUCCUGAGGGUCUUCCAUUGGCUGUUAACCCUUGCCUAUUCAGUAAGGAAAAUGAUGGCAGAUAAGGCUUUGGUGCGGAGGCUAUCUACUUGUGAGACAAUGGGUUCUGCCACCACUGCAGCGAUAAAACUGGAAGUUGAAUCAGGAUAUGUAGAUGUAGAGCUGCUGAGAAAUUCCAAAGGGAGUCUGCUAAGUCUGAGCUCCCCUGAUGCACAAGGUGGUUUAUUCAGAUCGUCGUCGAGUCGAGGCACUGGGACUGCUCUGUUGAAUCUUAUCUUCUCGUUUAUCAUCAUCUGUUUAGGCAGGUUUCCAUGUAUUUGUGCAUCGGGAGUUUUGUUAAUCAAGUCUACAACUUGGAGCUUCCAUCAUUGGUUGAUUCAGUUUAUUGGGUAUUCAAGAGGCUUGAGUUGCUCACUGGUUGCCUCAAGGACUGAUCUCAUUUGUCUACUCGUAGUCAGAUGAGAGAUGAUCAUAAGUUCCUUUUAAAUGGGUUUGUAAGUAUUUUUUUGUUCUUUUCAUGAUGGUUAUGUUUACCAAAAUAGUUUCGGUAUUGAGCAUCUUCAAGUCUUUUAGGGCUGUUCAAGUCUGAGCUACUCUUAUGCAGAAAGCUGCUUGGAUGUUCUGCAAUCUGUUGAUUCAUCCUUUCUGGAUUUUGAAGUGUGUUUCCCUUAUUGAGUUUCACAUGAUUGGUACUUUUCAUUGGAUGUUUCCCGUCAACAAUAAUGUUUCUCAUCUUCCUAUCUAUGCACGCAUUUUUUCUUAGGCCUGAUCUUCUACUAAGUCUUUAUCAUAGAUAUUUCAGUAUACUACUUGGUCUCUUAUUUCUAUAUCCAUUUUGGUGUGCUGCAUCUAUUCCUAGUUUAUUUUUUAUAAUCCUAAUUACAUAUGCUUGUGAUUGUAGAUUCUCUUUAUAUGAAUUACUUCCCUUCAAUAUAGGUAUGUUAAUAUGGGCGCAAAGGAAGAAUUCUCCUUUUAUAUAGAUACAUGUUGUGUUUUUUUGUCUUUUCUGUUUUCGUUAUGUGAUCUGUUUUCCUUCCCCGUAUCUGUUUAUGCCUUUCUGAUUUCGUAGUCUGCAUAUUCUAUGUUUAAUGCUAAUCACUUCUGCUGGAGAUGAAGUCAGUAUUUUGCAUAGGAGUUUGGAUGUUACAUAGUGGAGGUUCUGAUUCGUCCUGCUUGCCUACACUCCCCUGUAUCUUUACAUCAUGAGUUUGUGAGGUGGUUUUCUAUGUUUGUUACUUCUAGUGUAGAUUGCCGAGGAAGCAUAAACUAAAAGUUUCAAGCUUCUGCGUGGUUGUCCCAAUAGGGAUGAAACUUAGAGCUUUCAUCUCUGGUGGAUUCAGGGUAUGAGCUACUAUUCUUAUGUGGUUUGAUUCUUAGGUUUCUUUGGCUUGUGAUUGUUGUGUCACUGUUUUUGAGUUACUUCACAUUGUUAUAUUUUACUGGGUAUUCAAGAAAACUGAGCUUCCACCUCCUCAGGGUUGCCUCACGUCUCAAUUGACGGUUUCCCAUCCUCUCUUCCUUGUUUCUGAUUUUACAAGGACAUCUUUUUUUUCUUUGAUCUGACGCUGUUGACUUUUUGUUGCAUUGUCUUAUGCUGCCCACUGUUGGUCUAUAUUUCCAGCAAGACAAGGUUAAGUUGAAUGUUCUUUUGAGUUUUGUCACUUUUCUAUUAAAUGGUCUCGGGGGAUUAGUUGGCCAGAAUGGUUGAAGCUCUGUAGAUUUUUUUGUUGGUUCUUCCACACUAGUUGUUAGUGUUGGUCAUGGUGUAUGUGUGUUAGCGUUGUUGAUGGUAAGCGCGGCAUCAGAUGUCUUGGCAUUAAGAGAAUUUGGUUGGAAACUUGGAAUGAAUGUUGUGAUUCUGGGGAAUUUAUGGUGUCCUAGUGCCUAGUAGUACAUGUACAUAUAUUAAAAGGGUUUUCUGUAGACUUUUUUUUAAUGGGUUCCAGGCGAGGCGAGGCUUAAUGUUUAUGGAUUCUUCUUACGGAUGCUCCCAGGUUAAUCAGUGGAAAUCGAGAACAUCACCUCCUUACUUCUGGUGAAGAGGUCGAUUCCAUAUGUUGGAGAAAAAAAGAAUCGGGUUCAACAAGUUGUUGGAUUUUUGUUUUUUCUCUCUUAGAGGAACAAAUGUUUUACUAAUUUCCACGGUGCUUCAAUGGCUAAAUACCAUAGUGAAAUUUUAUCAUUCUAGUGUGGAAUUCAUUCACGGUCUACAAGAAAUAUAAUGUUGAAGCCAAUAGCUUGGAAA